GGUCUCUGAAAACCCAGCUCUUUCAUGGGCUUCAGUCGGGAGCGCAUCAUGGACAGACUUAGCAUGAAACCACGAUCAAGGUACAUAGUUUUACUUAGCAGAAUACUUUGAACAUUUCAAUAAAGCCCCGCUGUUCAUGAGGAUGCCUGCCCAGAGAAUGUCACAGCUGAUGAUUUUCACGACCGAGUAUGCAUAUUUACUCCUGGAAAACUGCAGAUGGGAAAUCACUGGCGUUACAGUGGGCAAAAAGGUUCACAGAAAAGUGUCCAACCACUCCUCGUCAGACUGAUCCACAUUUUGUGUUGUUGUUUAUAACGGGAGAGGAGGCAAGAAGUUAUCCAUAAUCCUCAACAUUAAAUUCUGUUUGAUUUUUCAAACUCCAGUUAUAUUUACUUUUUAGAUGAAUUUACUUGUACUGCCUUAGUGCAGUCUUGCUGUUGUCAUUCUGUUCAAUGUUUUUGAUGUUGACAUCUUGUCCUUGUUUUCCACUAUUAAAACAUGU